rnacentral:rRNA from 1 species
UACGUAGGGCGCAAGCGUUGUCCGGAAUUACUGGGCGUAAAGCGCACGUAGGCGGAUUUGUAAGUUAGGGGUGAAAUCCCGGGGCUCAACCUCGGAACUGCCUUUGAUACUGCAAAUCUCGAGUCCGGUAGGGGAGCGUGGAAUUCCUGGUGUAGCGGUGAAAUGCGCAGAUAUCAGGAGGAACACCAGCGGCGAAGGCGGCGCUCUGGGCCGGAACUGACGCUGAGGAGCGAAAGCGUGGGUAGCAAACAGG